UUGGAGGGCAAGUCUGGUGCCAGCAGCCGCGGUAAUUCCAGCUCCAAUAGCGUAUAUUAAAGUUGUUGCAGUUAAAAAGCUCGUAGUUGAAUUUCGGAAUCAGUAUGUUGGUCGUGCUUCGGUACGUACUGUCAUUACUGGUUUCUCCCUUCUGAAGAACCUUGAUGUCAUUAAUUUGGUGUCCUGGGGAAUCAGGAUUGUUACUUUGAAAAAAUUAGAGUGUUUAAAGCAGGCAUACGCUUGAAUACAUUAGCAUGGAAUAAUGAAAUAGGGCGUUUGAUUCUAUUUUGUUGGUUUCUAGGAUCGACGUAAUGAUUAAUAGGGAUAGUUGGGGGCAUUAGUAUUCAAUUGUCAGAGGUGAAUUUCUUGGAUUUAUUGAGGACUAACUACUGCGAAAGCAUUUGCCAAGGAUGUUUUCAUUAAUCAAGAACGGAAGUUAGGGGAUCGGAGACGAUCAGAUACCGUCGUAGUCUAAACCAUAAACUAUGCCGACUAGGGAUCGGAUGAUGUUAAUUUUUUAAUGACUCAUUCGGCGCCUUACGGGAAAC
rnacentral:rRNA from 1 species